AGAGUUUGAUCAUGGCUCAGAGUGAACGCUGGCGGCAGGCCUAAUACAUGCAAGUCGAACGGCAGCACAGCAGAGCUUGCUCUGUGGGUGGCGAGUGGCGGACGGGUGAGGAAUACGUGGGAAUCUGCCCAGUCGUGGGGGAUAACGCAGGGAAACUUACGCUAAUACCGCAUGCGCCCUUCGGGGGAAAGCCGGGGACCUUCGGGCCUGGCGCGAUUGGAUGAGCCCACGUCGGAUUAGCUAGUUGGCGGGGUAAAGGCCCACCAAGGCGACGAUCCGUAGCUGGUCUGAGAGGAUGAUCAGCCACACUGGAACUGAGACACGGUCCAGACUCCUACGGGAGGCAGCAGUAGGGAAUAUUGGACAAUGGGCGCAAGCCUGAUCCAGCCAUGCCGCGUGAGUGAAGAAGGCCCUCGGGUUGUAAAGCUCUUUUGUCCGGAAAGAAAAGCGCCGGGUUAAUACCCUGGUGUCCUGACGGUACCGGAAGAAUAAGCACCGGCUAACUUCGUG
rnacentral:rRNA from 1 species